AUUGAACGCUGGCGGCAGGCCUAACACAUGCAAGUCGAACGAGUGGCGGACGGGUGAGUAAUGUCUGGGAAACUGCCUGAUGGAGGGGGGUAACUACUGGAAACGGUAGCUAAUACCGCAUACCAUCGGAUGUGCCCCGCUGGGAUUAGCUAGUAGGUGGGGUAAAGGCUCACCUAGGCGACGAUCCCUAGCUGGGCUGCGAGGAUGACCGGACACACUGGAACUGAGACACGGUCCAGAGUCCGACGGGAGGCAGCAGUAGGGAAUAGUGCACAAUUGGGGCAAGCCUGAAACAGCCAUGCCGCGUGUAUGAAGAAGGCCUGAGGGUUGUAAAGUACUUUCAGUGGGGAGGCGUUACCCGCAGAAGAAGCGCCGGCUAACUCCGUGCCAGCAGCCGCGGUAAUUC
rnacentral:rRNA from 1 species